rnacentral:rRNA from 1 species
GGCCCCCGCCCGCCCAUCGCGCAUCCGCGUCAUGCGCCCGGAGGUGGAGGAGGUCCUCAAGAGCCCCCGCCGCGCCCGCGCCAAGCUGCACAAGGAGGGCGGCGGCGAGCAGGAGGACGGCGCCGGCGCGCGCCCGCGGUACGACUGCGCGUUCCAGGACGAGGAGGGGCAGCAGGGGUUCGCGCCGCCCGACGUGGUGUGGUGCAAGGUGCGGAGCCACCCCUGGUGGCCGGCCCAGGUCUUCGACGCCGCCGACGCCUCCGAGCUCGCGCUCCGGCACGCCAGGCCGGGGGCGCCCCUCGUCGCCUACUUCUGGGACCGGACCUUCGCCUGGAUGGACCCCUCCGCGCUGCGCCCCUUCCGCGCCCACUUCCCCCGCCUCGCCGCCCAGAGCACCGUCUCCAGCUACGUCGCCUCUGUCGACGCCGCGCUGCAGGAGGUCACCCGCCGCAUCGAGGCCGGCCUCUCCUGCUCCUGCUCCCCGCCCGCCGUCGCCAGGAAGCAGCAGAUUCACAACUCAGGGAUCAGGGAAGGGGCCUACGGCGCCGUGGUGGACGAGGUGUACAUGAGGGACACGUUCCGUGCCAAGCCGUUCGUCGACUACAUUUCGGCGCUGGGGAGGAGCCCGCUGGCCGGCGCCGAUCGUCUCGACCUUGCCACCGCCAUGGCGCAGCUCAGGUCUUUCAACCGGUUGAGGUGUCCAAUGGAGCUUCCUGAGUUUGUCAUCUUCCAGGGGAUUGAGGAUGUUGCUGCUGCCGUUGCUCCUGAGGCUGAUGCUGAUGCUGAUGCUGAUGCUGAUGCUGAUGUGGCAGCAACACAACAGACAAAGAGGAAGAGGACGGAGGAGAAGGGCGGCGGGGAUGGCAAUGCUCCGGCCAAGGAGAAGAGAUCGAGGCACGGCGAGAGCUCAUCGCGCAAGAAAGAUGCUCCUGCAGAGGAACAAGAAGAGGCCAUUGAUGAUGCUCCGACCAAGGAGGAGAAGAAAUCAAGGAGGCGUGGCGAGAGCUCAUCGCGUGAGAGAGAUGCUGCUGCAAAGGAACCAGAAGUGGCCAUUGAUGUUGAGGACAGCCCUCCUAUGCCCAGGGACAGGAUCAUGGACACCUCCGAAGAUGCACCGGAUAAGGGAGAAGCUCCUGCAAACAAAGAUGCCGCCAUGGUUGAGGACACCCCUCCUAUGCCCAGUACCAAGCAAAGGAAGUCAAAGAGAGGUAGCAAGACUUCAGCUGAUAAAAAGAAGAAAGACACCUCCAAAGACGCGGCAGGUAAGGGCGAGUCUCUGCCAGAGGCAGAGCCUGCCAAAGAAGAUGAUGUGAAUGGGGACAGCUCUAUGCCGAGUGUGGAGGCGACAGAUGAUACAUUGAGCAAGCAAAGGAAGUCGAAGAGAGUUAGCAGGAGUGCAGCAGAGAGCAAGAAGAAAGACACCUCCAAAGACGCAGCCGAUAAGGGCGAGCCUCUACCAGAGGCAGAGCCUGCAAAAGAAGAUGAUAUGGAUGAGGACAGCUCUAUGCCCAGCAGCGGGGCGGCAGAUGAUACAUUGAGCAAGGGAAAGAAGUCAAAAAGAGCUACUAGGAGUUCAGGAAAGACAAAGAAGAACGACACCUCCAAGGACGCAGAUAAGACAGAGUCUGUAACUGAGCCUGCAAAGGAAGUGGCCGAGAACGAGGACAGCUCUAUGCCCAGUGCAGAGGCGACAGAUGACACAGUGAGCAAGGGAAGAAAGUCGAAGAAAAGUAAGGGUUCAGCAAAGACCAAGAAGAAAGAUGCAGAUAAGAAUGAGUCUCUACCAGAGCCUGCAAAGGAAGUUGCCGAGGAUGAGGACAGCUCUAUGCCCAGUGCAGAGGCGAUAGAUGGUGCAUUGAGCAAGGAAACGAAUUCCAAGAGCAGUACAAGGUCGGCAAAGAAGAAGAAGAAAGACGCAGGUAAAAAAGAGUCUCUACCAGAUCCUGCAAAGGAAGGUGCUGAGAAUGAGGACAGCUCUAUGCCCAGUGGAGGGGCGACAGAUGGUGCGUUGAGCAAGGAAACAAAUUCCAAGAUCAGUACGAGGUCGGCAAAGAAGAAGAAGAAAGACGCAGAUAAGAAAGAGUCUCUGCCAGGGCCUGCAAAGGAAAAGGCCACUGGUACUGACAGUUCAAUGCUGAGUAGAGUGGUGGCAGAUGAUACACCGAGCAAGAAAAGGAAGUCCAGUAAGAAGAGUUCAGCCAGUAACAGGAUCAUAGACACCUCCAUGGAUGCUGUGGAUGGCAUGUUGAGUGAGAGAAAAUCAGGGCGUAGGCUAAGGUCCAGCCACAAGAUUGUAGAGGCUUUGGAGGUUAUGAAAUGGCCGAGGAAGAAGGAUGCUGGUGAAACCACAAAGGUAAAAGAUAAAGAUGCUGCUUUGCCCAAGGAGAACAAUCUAGGGCAUAGAGCGGGCUCUGCACGCCACAAGGAUAAAACCACAAUCACAAAGGAUGGGAAUGGACUUACAGUUUCUCCUCUCAAGAAAAGGUUGCACCUUGAUGUACACUCAGCAACAGAGAAUGCGCCCUUCGCAGUCUCAGAGCUUGGCAGGAAGAAGAAGACGCUUAUUGAACUUCUGGCAGAGACAGCUACCCCUAACCCUUCAGCAGGUGGUAAGAGCAAGGCUCGAGCGGAGCGUCCCUUGCCUUCUUCAGUCCUGAAACCUGAGGCUACACCGAACACCAGAGGGAAGCGUUCUUUGCCUGCUUCUACUGAGACACCUGAGGAUCCAGGCCGUGAUAAGGAUACAAUUAAGACCAGAGAGAAGCGUUCUGUGGCCGCAUCGACCGAGAAACCUGAGCGUGAUACGAGAAGUACAGUGAAGGCUAGAAGAAAAAGUUCUUUGCCUUCUUCAGCCGAGGAACCUGAGGACCCAGACCGUGAUAAAAAUGAUGCAAUGAAGACUAGAGGGAAGCGUUCUUUGCCUGCAUCAGCUGAGAAACCUCAGGAUCCUGACCGCGGCACAAAGGGUACAGCGAAGACUAGGGGUAAACGCUCUCUGCCUGAAUCAAUUGAGGAUCCUGACCGUGUUACAAAGGGUUCAUCAAAGACUAAGGGGAAAGGUUCUCUGCCUGAAUCAACUGAGGAACCAGAGGGUCCUGAUGACCGUGAUAUGAAGGAUUCAAUGCACACCAGGAAACGAAAGAAGCUCGACACAUUGGGGGAUUUGUCUUCCCAGCCACAGCCUGUUUCUCCCAAGGGUUCCACGAAAGCUCGAGAAGUGAAGCGCAAAGCUGCUGGGCAGAAGUCACAGGCAUCUCCUGUUGUCAAAGCCAAUGGUGGCAUAUCAGGCGAUACGUCUUCCAAGAGGUCCGCAAGGCGCAAAGCUGCUGAACCGAAGCCACAGGAAACCCCUGUUGUCAAAGCUAACGGUGAAGCUUCUCAGACGAGAUCGCGUAGGGCCAUAAACAGUGAAGUGACUGUUCCAGACAAGUCUCCACGCUCUGUUAAGCCGGAUAAGGGCAAGAAAGGUGCCGUGGCAGAAGGCUCUCCGUCUUGUGGUGAAAUGCUGUCACAGCUUUGUGUCGGAGCAAGUGAUGCUGAGAAGAUGGGGAAGAUCGCCCCUACAAGCGCUAGCUUCUUGACUGAUUUCCUGAAGAGCGCUCGUGCCUGUACUUCUGAUGUGGAGGAGGCAGCCAACGCAGACUGCCGUGCUUCUAGUCCCCAUGCUGACGAGGAGAUACCUGAGAAGGCAGCAGCAGACAAAGUUUCUAGUCCCAAUGCUGACGAAGAGAUACCUGAGGAAGCAGCAGCAGACAAAAUUUCUAGUCCUCAUGCUGUCGAGGAGAUACCUGAGAAGGCAACAGACAAUGUUUCUAGUCCUCAUGCUGACAUGGAGGUGCCCGAGGAGGCAGCAGACAAAGUGUCUAGUCCUCAUGCUGACGAUGAGGUGAUACCUGAGGAGGCAGCAGAGAAAGUUUCUAGUCCCAGUGCCGAUGAGGCGAUACCCGAGGAGGCAGCAGAGAAAGUUUCUAGUCCCAAUGCUGAUGAGGUGGUACCCGAGAAGGCAGCAGUUGAAGUUUCCAGUGCCCCUGCUGAUGAGGCGAUACCUGAGAAGGCAGCAGAGAGAGUUUCCAGUCCCAAUGCUGAUGAGGUGAUACCUGAGGAGGCAGCAGACAAAGUUUCUAGUCCCCAUGCUGAUGAGGCGAUACCUGAGGUGGCAGCAGAUGAAGUUUCACUUGCCCCUGCCGACGAGGAGACACUUUUGAAGGUAAAAGAGGAAGUUUCUAGUCCCCUUGCUGACGAGCAGACACUUGAGACGGCAGCAACAGAGAAAGUUUCUAGUGCCCCUGCCGACGAGGAGACACUUGAGACGGCAGCAGCAGAGAAAGUUUCUAGUGCUCCUGCCGACGAGGAGACACCUGAGACGGCAGCAGCAGAGAAAGUUUCUAAUGCCCCUGCCGGCGAGGAGACACUUGAGAAGGUAAAAGAGGAAGUUUCUAGUCCGCAUGCUGAUGAGGUGAUACCUGAGAAGACGGCAGAGAAAGUUUCUAGUCCCCAUGCUGAGGAGGCGAUACCUGAGAAGGCAGCAGAUGAAGCUUCUAGUCCCCCUGCCGACGUGGAGACACCUGAGAAGGAAACAGAGAAAGUUUCUUGCCCCCCUGUCGACGAGGAGAUAGCUGAGAAGCCAGCAGACAAAGUGUCUAGUCCUCAUGCUGAAGCAGAGAUGUCUGAGAAGGCAGCAAAGAGCUCCCCUGCUCCAUCAGAGCCGCCGGUGGUGGCUGAUAAUAUGAAGGACGAUUACUGGUCUGACAUUCUCAUAGACGUGGAGGAACCGCUGUCUAGUCUGGCAAAGAAGAAGGACAAGGGCAAGAUGAGAUCAAGCAAGAAACAGCGGCGUGACGACGAGAUGAAGCAAGAUGAGAGCCAGCAAGACAAGGCAGAGGCAGAGAAUGGGAAGGCGAACGGGGGUGGCGGCCAGGCAAGCGCGGCCGAGGAGGACGCGUCGCUGAUGGGGCUGGUGCUGCACUUCAGCAAGCCAGGCGCGGUGCCCUCGCGUGGCGACCUCAUCGAGAUCUUCAGCCAGUACGGGCCCGUGAGCGAGGCGAAGACGGAGACGGACCAGCACUCCAGCUCGGCCCAGGUGGUGUUCAGGCGGCGCGCGGACGCGGAGGCGGCGUUCGGCGGCGCGGGCAAGAUGGCGGCCCUCAGGCCCAGCCUCGACAGCUUCCGGCUCACCGACUUCCCGUCCGCUGCGGCCGCGUUCCGGGGCGACGACGGGCCGAAGCAGGGGUGAACAGGGCUGCUGGAGGUGGAGGAGAGAGGUGAAGGAGGAGAGGAGGAGGUGUUUGUUAUUUAGGUGGUGGUAGCUUUGUGGUUGUGUUAAAAGGAGGAGUAAGCAUUGUGGCUUUGUGGUGUCUUUUUGGAGCUCCCUGGAUGCUGAUGCUGAGAGGUGUUUGUUAUUAAGUAGUAGUAUAAGAUGUAAAAAGACUAUGGCAUGGUUGCAUGUGAGGAUUGGAUGCAUGUGAGGAUUGGUGUAAAAACCUGGUGACUUUGUUGGUACCCUACCUGAAAGUCUGUCUGUCUUGUGUUGUGUGUCUGGUUGAAUUGUGUGGUGAAUGAGAGUGCUAUUGGUUGGGGGUCACUAGUUGUUAUUGUUGGUGUUGUGGUCAUGUUUGUAGCAGCAGAGGAGUAAUAGCUUUUACUAUAUGAUAUGAUGAGCUGGAGUAUCUUAUUUGGC